AGACAAAAAUUCCCUCCGUAGUCCCUAUCUUUCCAAUUCUCCCGAGUCCUCCAUCUCCAGUCUCUCCGGCCCCGACUCCGUUCUCUCCGGCCUUCGUCGACUUGCUUGUCUCUCCAACUUGUCACGCGUCCUCCAACUCGCCAAUUUCUUGGACCUACCCCGAUGCGAUUGCUUUUGGUUCUGAUUUUGUUUCCCCCUAUUUCUGGGCAAGGGAGAGAUGCAUACUGGAUCGAGAUGGAAGGGAUAAGAAAGAGCUACGUGAAAACCAAAAAAGGAAAGAAUGCUUCAAGCUUGAGGAGAAGCAAAGCAGCUUCUGUUGGUUAUAAGAAUAUGGUCAUCGGAAGGUGCUACUUCAGCCACUCCGUGGUGCUCAUAGUCACCCUCGUUGAGUCCAUAUCUUAGGAGCAAAAGCAAAGGGUGGCUGGCACUCCAUUUGGAUAUCUGCUUCUGUAUAACAAGUAGAAUAGGUCACUCUUAGGUGCUUUGCUCUCCUUCAGGGAUGAUAAAGAGGAGGCUUUUUAGUUUGGUAAGGUGCUGGUGCCUUUUGUGGGGACUGAUUUUGCCCUCAUCCUUGGUUUUGAGGGCCAUAGGUAAUAAGGUCGAACUACAAAGGGAGGAAAAGUUUCAGUCCAACCUCAUCACCCAAUAUUUUGAUUGACCAAAAAAGGCUAUUAGGGAUGCAGUAUAGAAUAAACUAAAAAGCCUUAUUGGAAAGUAUGGGCAGCAAGAUUUAGAGGAUUUUACAAAAUUAUAGGUUGUGUAUAUUUUUGUGACUAUCCUCUUCCCAACCAUGCACUACUAUAUUCCUAAGGCAUUAUAUGUAUAUCAACUUUGACCGCUUAGGAUCAUAUGGUUGGGAUCCCGUGGAACCAUGAAACUCCUCCAUGGAGGGUGAGCACACAUCUCAAAUGAACCAUGGAACCAGAGAAACAUCUUCGUAUCGGACCAUAUGGAGAGAUAUUCGAGUGUGCCGUCGAGUCGGUACCCAAAAAGGGCCAAACUUAGAUAGGGAAUAUACCAUGGGAACCAAAAAAAUCUAAGCCGAAAUUCCACCAUACAGGAUGAGCACGUAUCACAAAUUGUAUCAGAGAAAUAUCUCCCUAUCAAACCAUACUGAGGGAUAUUUGAGCAUGUUGGUGGACCAAUGCCUGAGAGAGCUAAUUUUAGAUAGGUGCACUGUGGAAACUAGUCCAAUCUAAGCCGAAACUCCAGAGUGGAGGAUGAACACGUAUCGCAAAUAUAGAAUCAAGCUAACUGGGCCUAACCUGGACCAAAGUCGGCAGGCCUAGUGGCCGGCAUGACACCUCGGUUGACCGCUGCCACCCAAAAUCCCCUUCCUCCUCUCUUUAGAUCCCGGUUGCCUGCCUCCCCUGUUCUGAGUGCCAUUUCCUCUCUUCUAGCCGAGAAUGCCGAAAAUCGCCACUGCCGGCCGAAGUCCACCGCCUCCACCCCUCGUCGGUGCAACGGAUUUGCACAACUGAACCUAGCGAUCUUUGGGCGAACAGACGAGGAUGAGAUUGGCAUGCCACCUCUGCUUGCUCCAAAAUAAAAGGAUACACCUAAGGAUGAACCAACAGACAGCAACCCUGAAAAGCAGUACCACCUUCUAGAUCUGCGCGGGGCAUGCCAGCUAUGUCCAAAUUAUCAAAAGACAUAGAGGAAAUCUAGAGGUGAUGAUGUGAAGUUGCUAAUGGUGCACCUGCAAAGAAAGUCAAGAAGGAUCAUGACUCAAAAUCAUCAGUUGUUAAGGAUGAACCUUUAACCUGUUGUGCCUCCCAAAGCAUCCGGUUCAACAUCUGGUAGAAUUGGACCAGCAUCUUCUGCGGCUGCAGUUACAGAGGAGGAGAUUAGGACUGUUUUUAAGUGGCUCCUGUGACCAUGCAGGUCUUAUUUGUUAUAUGCAAGGCCAGACUGAAAUCCUAGAAGGACAAGUCAUUUUGCGGAUAUUCUAAGGAGAAUAUCAGAAACGCAGAAGGGUCACAACUGUGUUGCGCCGAGAGAGAAAUGAAUCAAAUAUUACCUGUACAAUUUUUAUCCGUGUUGAUCUUUUGAAUUGUGGGUAUCAAAUUCACAUAAGGGAAACUUAAAUGAGCUCAACAGUCAGAGUCAAAGGUGAAACAGUGACUCCAGCCUUGCUCAAAGCCUUUGGAAGCGCAUGAAAUAGAUAAAAGCCUUGCUCAUUUUUCGAUUUGCAGCCUUGGUAGCAAUUUGAGCCAGAGGGCUGGCCUGUCAGCCACAGCAUGAGCAACAUCAUCUAUCUUCUCCUUCUGCGCUGUUAAAGCUAUCUGCCCACCCGCCUGUGCCUGAGGCAGCACUUCAGCAUGCAGUUUGAGACCAUUCUUGCAGUUGUUUGGAUUGCUGAAUGCCGAUGGGGUUGCGAAGAUCACAAGACUCGAAUUCCUCCCUACUUUGCAACUCAGUGAUGCUUUUUUCAGCCAAUUAGCUUCACAAUUAGCUUAGAAGCCCAUCUUUUUAUGGAUAUCGGUCACACAGUUCCUCACCACCACCAUUAUUUAUCUCUAGAUGUACCUUUCAUCUCCAAUCUUAAGAAUUCGUGAAAAAACUGCAAUACUAAACAUUGUGCAUAUUGAUCAUAUACCUGUACGUACUACACAACCAUACAUUAGUUUCCAGAAUAAAACUGUAGUCGUAGAGCUUUUAAAGUUCUGAUGUAACUAUAGAAUGAAAACAAAGUAGCAUGCAAAACUCGUUGAAACAAGAUAGCAUGC